GACGAACGCUGGCGGCGUGCCUAAUACAUGCAAGUUGAGCGCUGAAGGUUGGUACUUGUACCAACUGGAUGAGCAGCGAACGGGUGAGUAACGCGUGGGGAAUCUGCCUUUGAGCGGGGGACAACAUUUGGAAACGAAUGCUAAUACCGCAUAAAAACUUUAAACACAAGUUUUAAGUUUGAAAGAUGCAAUUGCAUCACUCAAAGAUGAUCCCGCGUGGUCUUAGCUAGUUGGUGAGGUAAAGGCUCACCAAGGCGAUGAUACAUAGCCGACCUGAGAGGGGGAUCGGCCACACUGGGACUGGGACACGGCCCAAACUCCUACGGGAGGCAGCAGUAGGGAAUCUUCGGCAAUGGACGAAAGUCUGACCGAGCAACGCCGCGUGAGUGAAGAAGGUUUUCGGAUCGUAAAACUCUGUUGGUAGGGAAGAACGUUGGUGAGAGUGGAAAGCUCAUCAAGUGACGGUAACUACUCAGAAAGGGACGGCUAACUACGUG
rnacentral:rRNA from 1 species